rnacentral:rRNA from 1 species
AUUGAACGCUGGCGGCAGGCCUAACACAUGCAAGUCGAACGAGUGGCGGACGGGUGAGUAAUGUCUGGGAAACUGCCUGAUGGAGGGGGAUAACUACUGGAAACGGUAGCUAAUACCGCAUACCAUCGGAUGUGCCCAGAUGGGAUUAGCUAGUAGGUGGGGUAAAGGUUCACCUAGGCGACGAUCCCUAGCUGGUCUGAGAGGAUGACCAGCCACACUGGAACUGGUACACUGUACAGACUCCUCCGGUAGGCAGCAGUGGUGAAUAUUGCACAAUGGGCGCAAGCCUGAUGCAGCCAUGCCGCUUGUAUGAAGAAGGCCUUCGGGUUGUAAAGUACUUUCAGCGGGGAGGCGUUACCCGCAGAAGAAGCACCGGCUAACUCCGUGCCAGCAGCCGCGGUAAUUC